UCGACUCGGAAGGGAGUGCGCGGGCUGGCGGGAUGCAGGCACGGAGCGCGGCGUGGGGGACGUCGGGCUGGGUGCGGGGUGCGUGGUGCGGUGCUCAGUGCAAGGCACACAGCUGCGUGCAGGGUGCAGGACACGACGGGGUGCAGGCUGAGGGGUGUAGGGUGUGUGACACGUGGCACGGCUCCUGUCACCUGCACCGCUCAGCCCCUGACCGGAGGCGUAGGAAUCUAUCGGCUCCCGGGGCCAACCCGCCUAAGGAUGUGCCGUGAGCCAGGUGAACGGUCACAAGGACGCAGCAGCCCUGGUGGCUCUCAGAGCCAGGAAGGCUGGGGGCCAUCCCCGCGGACUCACGGAGUGCUGUGAGCAAGAUGUUCCCCCACGUUCAUCCCUCGGCUCUGUGCCCGCAGCACCUGGCCCUGUGCAUUCCCACAUCACCCGUGGCGAAGGAGCUGAGAGCUCGCUGCUGGUGUAUGGGAUUGGGGCCAGCAGAAGGCACCAAGAUGGGGCAUUUCACAGAGCCCAUGUUCUGCAGGAGCGUGGUGUGGCGGCACCAGCAAAGAUGCUCAAGUCUCCAUCUCACCUUCUGCACACAACUGCUGAGAUUUGAAUGUGACAUUUGCCCUGUUGUCAGCUGGCUUUACAGCCUACUUCAGAACAGCAGAGGGAGGAAAGCUGAGCACGCUGCCCAGUGUGGUGCUGAGCCCAACACACAGCUGUGCUGCCCAUGGGCACAGCCAGGAAGGCACUGGUGAGUUGGUGCAGGGCAGUGGGGCAGUGAUAACUCAGCCUGCAGGACGCAAAGAAGGGCAUUUGAAUUAUAAAGUGCAGAGCCCUGUGCUUUGGGUACAACUGUAAUUAAUGUGUAAUCAAGAUAUAAUUAAAAGUUACCGCCUUGGAAAAAAAUCAAACAAAGCCAAGCGUGUAUGUGUAUGUGUAUAGGGGAAAUUUAAUUAAAAAUGAAAGAAAUGGGGAGAGGGGGGAAGGGGAAGAAAAAAAAAAAAAGAACAGGCUGGGAGAAGGUUGCAAAGUGCUCCAGGAGCAUCAGAUUUCUGCACUUCCCAGCACCCCAUGCAGUGAUGCAGCAGCGUGGCAGGGCUGGGCCAUGGCAGUGCUGUGCCCAGAAGCCUGC
rnacentral:lncRNA from 1 species